GACGAACCGUGCGAACGUUAUUCGGAAUCACUGGGUUUAAAGGGUGCGUAGGUGGGUUGGUAAGUCAGUGGUGAAAUCUCCGGGCUUAACCUGGAAACUGCCAUUGAUACUAUCAAUCUUGAAUACCUUGGAGGUGAGCGGAAUAUGUCAUGUAGCGGUGAAAUGCUUAGAUAUGACAUAGAACACCAAUUGCGAAGGCAGCUCACUACACGGUCAUUGACACUGAGGCACGAAAGCGUGGGGAUCAAAACAGG
rnacentral:rRNA from 1 species